GCGUUUGACCAGCUGCGUGUCCAGUUGGAGGAGAGACACACUAAGGAACUGUCUAACCUACGGUCCUCUCUGGCCCUGUCCUACAGAGAGGAGCUGCUACAGGUGCGUUUGGACCUGACUGAUCGUUACUAUGGAGACCUGCAGGAGCUGAAGACUCGCCAUGCCCUCGAGAUGGAACAACUCCGUGCUAAACUGUCAGACAGCCAUGUCAGAGAGCUGACGAGGGUGCGUCUGGAGGCUGCCAGACAGGUGGAGGUAUGAAUGAUGAUAGUGAAUGAAUUAGAUUCUGUGAGUCGAAGUUCUGUUAAGUUUCCAGUGGGAGUAGGUUUGCUAAUGUGAUGUGAACAGGUGGAGGUGGAGCAUAGGAUGUGGUGUCACUCUGAGGAGCUGCAGACCAGAACGACCAUGAUCCAGAGCCUGGAGACACAACUGGCUGCCGUGGCAGACACACACAACAUGGAGCUACGCUCACGCACUAUGAAGCUGAAGCAGAGCUUUGCUGAGGAGCUGGGUGUGAAACUAGCAGAGGAACGUGUGAUGGAG
rnacentral:lncRNA from 13 species